AGGACGCUGGCGGCGUGUCUUAGCCAUGCAAGUCGAGCGGACUUAUGGGGUAACUUAUAAGUCAGCGGCGGACGGCGGAGUAACACGUAGCUAACCUACCCUCUGGACGGGGAUAACCUACCGAAAGGUGGGCUAAUACCCGAUGUAGUCAUCCUGUAUAGGGGUGAUGAAAGGUGGGCUUCUGUUUACAAGCUCAUGCUGGAGGAGGGGGCUGCGGCCUAUCAGGUAGUUGGUAGGGUAAUAGCCUACCAAGCCGAUGACGGGUAGCCGGCCUGAGAGGGUGACCGGCCCGAGGGGCACUGAGAUACGGGUCCCACUCCUACGGGAGGCAGCAGGCUAGAAAUUUGGGCAAUGGGGGAAACCCUGACCCAGUGACGCCGCGUGCAGGAAGGAGCCCUUCGGGGUGUAAACUGCUGUCGUGUAGGGAGAAGGGUACUAAGGUGAACAAUCUUAGUACUUGACGGUACUACAGGAGGAAGCCCAGGCUAACCUCGUG
rnacentral:rRNA from 1 species